rnacentral:tRNA from 1 species
GCCCAUGAGGCUCAGUGGAUAGAGCAUCAGCCUUUGGACUGAGGAGUCCUGGGUUUGAUUCCCAUCAAGGGCA